rnacentral:rRNA from 1 species
UACGUAGGGGGCGAGCGUUGUCCGAAGUUACUGGGCGUAAAGCGCGCGUAGGCGGUUUCUUAAGUCUGGGGUGAAAGGUUCAGCGCUCAACGCGAACAGUGCCUUGGAUACUGGGAGACUUGAGUCUGGGAGGGGGCAGUGGAAUUCCUGGUGUAGCGGUGAAAUGCGUAGAUAUCAGGAGGAACACCGGUGGCGAAGGCGGCUGCCUGGCCUAAGACUGACGCUGAGGUGCGAAAGCGUGGGGAGCAAACAGG